GAGAUAAGUUGGGAAGAAGAAUUACAAAACCUUAUGCGAGCGUUAAUGUUGAUGACGAAGGUCGUACAGAAAAAGAUCAGGUCGCCGAUCUUCCUAACUGUUGACGGGGAAAGACUCGGGCUCCAGCACACGAUAUAGUAGUCGCCCAAUACGACACGGCCAAUGUCCAAGAACAGGAGCACGAGACUACAGCAACCAUCACCACCAUGUAUCAGGUCGGAAAGAACGAGCGGCGGACAACCAGUUCGAAGUGCCUUUGAAGCCUCCCUAGCAUCAACCUAUGCUGCUAUUUACGUGAAAUCACUGCAAGGUCAAAGGUCUUUCACAGCAAACCACCAAGUAAGGGAUCGGCUUGAAGCUGAAGAGUGGGGGAGAGGGAUUACGUCAGCAUGGAGGAGGGGAUGAUCGUGAAAAUACAGAGAUCAUGGAAAUACUAUAUCAAUUCAAUUGUUUUAAUUACUAUAAUUCCUAAGAUGCUUACCUGUAAUGUCUUUCUGCUUAUCGUACAAAAUAACGAAUAGAAGAGCUAGUGCUUAUUAUAAAUGGCUAAAUUGUUUAUUAGAGAAAAGUGUUAAUAUUUAUACUGCAUGAAAUUAGUAAUAACAAUCGU